rnacentral:misc_RNA from 1 species
UCUCCGUAGGUGAACCUGCGGAGGGAUCAUUACAGAGUUCUCGCCCUUCCGGGUAGAUCUCCCACCCUAUGUUAUUAUUACUUUGUUGCUUUGGCGGGCCGUUAGGCUCCGGCCCGACUACCGGCCCCGGCUGGUAAGCGCCCGCCAGAGGACCCAAAACCCUGAAUAUUAGUGUCGUCUGAGUACUAUAUAAUAGUUAAAACUUUCAACAACGGAUCUCUUGGUUCUG